rnacentral:snRNA from 1 species
GCACAUACCUGGCUCAGGGACAGCGUGAUCAGGAAGGCGGUUCUCCCAGGGCGACACCCUGCCGUUGCAAUCCGGCCCGGUUGGUCCCUGCGAUUACCCAAACUGUGGGUAACUCGGCAAUACAAUGGUUGAAAGCGAGUUAAGUUUUGCUCGCGGUUCAACCCA